GACGAACCGUGCGAACGUUAUUCGGAAUCACUGGGCUUAAAGCGCGUGUAGGCGGGCGGGUACGUCGGCGCCUGAAAGCCCCCGGCUCAACCGGGGAAGGGGUGCCGAAACGGCCGGCCUGGAGGGGCGUAGGGGGACCUGGAACUUCCGGUGGAGCGGUGAAAUGCGUUGAGAUCGGAAGGAACGCCCGUGGCGAAAGCGAGGUCCUGGACGCCAACUGACGCUGAGACGCGAAAGCCAGGGGAGCGAACGGG
rnacentral:rRNA from 1 species